UACGUAGGGACCAAGCGUUGUUCGGAUUUACUGGGCGUAAAGGGCGCGUAGGCGGCGUGACAAGUCACUUGUGAAAUCUCUGGGCUUAACCCAGAACGGCCAAGUGAAACUGUUGUGCUAGAGUGCAGAAGGGGCAAUCGGAAUUCUCGGUGUAGCGGUGAAAUGCGUAGAUAUCGAGAGGAACACCAGAGGUGAAGACGGGUUGCUGGGCUGACACUGACGCUGAGACGCGAAAGCGUGGGGAGCAAACAGG
rnacentral:rRNA from 1 species